GGCUCAGUGGUCUAGUCGUAUGAUUCGCGCUUCGGGAAUAUUCCCUCAUCUGUAUAAAAACCAGGUGAUCAAAGAUGUGCGAGGUCCCGGGUUCAAAUCCCGGCUGAGCCC